UGGACUUUUCAUGUGUAAGCGUGACCAUGUGCUGCCUUUUUAGCCUGUUAUGGGUUGAAACGUCGUCCCCAAAGGUCAGCCCCCAGAAGGGCUGAAGUCCUAAUGCCCAAUACCUCAGUAUGUAACCUCAUCUGGAAAUGUGAUCAUUACAGAUGUAGUUAGUUGAAGUCAUAAUGGAGAAGGGUGGACCCCUGAUCUAACGUGAUCAGUGUCCUCAUAAAAGGGGGAGAGUUGGAUACAGAGAAAUGUAUACAGGGAGAAUGCUCUGUGAAGACAGGAGGUUUGCAGCCACAGUCCAGGGACGUACCAGCAGCUUAAAAAGAGACCAAUGGCAUUUUAAGUGAGACGUGAAAUAUGGGCUCUGCUACCGUGGCCCUUUGUCUGGUCAAAGAAGGAACAUAAACCCAUCUAAUUGAUCAAGUAGAAGGGAAAAGGAAGAGGGAAGAAAAAAAUGAGAGAAAAAGAGAAGAAAAAAAAACCCCCCAGGCUUUCAAGACUGUGAACUCCUUGGAACAAAGACACAAUCUCUAUUAUAGUUGAUAAAAAUCACCAGGAAACAAAUGUUCCAGGAGGUUGUAUCUUAGCAUAUAACACAGAGAGAGCUAAGAGCAAUUUCCAUAUCAAUCUGCCCAAAUGGAAAAACUGGUGUCACCUACAAGCCUAGAAAGAAACAAAUACGUCCCCCGAACCUAACUGUGAGAGCCAGAAGCAAGAAAUACAGAAGCAGCUUCCUCAUGGCAGAAUUGCAUUUUUUUUUUUUUUUUUGGUCUGCCAUCAACAGGUAUUACCAUGGUAACUAUCCUGUAGUUAAGAAGUAGUAGAGGUAAGGAAAUCUAUACAAAACCACCAUACAGGAAAAAAUAAGAAAAAUGUGCUGUAGCAAAACUAACCUCAGACCUAAAAGAAUGAGCAACAGGAGACUUUCUUGGCCAUUUGUCAGAUCUUUAUGUUGUUUGAAAGGGAUGCUGCAGGGGGAGGGAGGGUCUCAGCCCAGGAGCAUAUUCCUUGGAGGAAGCAGGGAACUCUCAGCGGGGACCGUUGUGGCUCUCAAUUUUAUUUCAGGUGCUAAUCUAUACGCCCAUUCCCAUGUGCACAUUGUAGCUUUCUGAAGAUGCUGUGGGGAAGGUUACAGCUGAGAAGUGUUGUGUCUGGAAACUGCUAAAAAGUGAACAUCUAUCAGUGAAUGACUUCCUUACUGUACUUCUAACUCCUGCAGGGAGUAUAUUUAGUGACAUUUUCUCUGCUUUAGCCUUCAGAUAGAGAAGCUGGGUUUGCAUGCUAUGAAUCAGUGAAACAGUUGAUAGUAUUUCUUCAUAUGAACAAAUAUAACCAAUACCUGUAAAGCCGGUGUCAGGAAAUCCCUCAGAGCCUGGCUAAAGCAGAACCCCAUAGCUACAAUCAUUCCUUCAUUGCUCAUGGCUUCUGAUAACACCCUCUCUAUGUUUAGCAUCAUGAACGAGGAGACAACUAUUUCUGAAAUUAAAUUCUACAUUUUUAUUUUGUAAGCUAUUGUUGGUUCGCCCCCCUCAAAGGGCACAAUCUAUCCCCUUUUAUGUCAAGAUUUUUGUUGUUCAAAUGACCACUCCACUCAAUAAGUGACAUGAAUUAAUAUACUCUGCUAACUUCUAUGAUUCUUCCAAGUUAGGACAGCUGACAAAACAAGUUUUUGAAGGGUAAUGUCUGAAAGGUUUUAGCUUGAGAGACAAAUCAGUGUGGUAUUAAGGAUAUUCUGCUAAGCCAGGCAGACAUCAGACUGUCGUACACAAGAGACAGCUGAGAUGUGAGCAGAUAAGGCUCUGAGACCUAACUACCUCUCUUGCCCAUUUGUGAGACUCGGUAUCCCCUUUCAUAAAGAGGUGUAAGCACUCCCUCCUUCAAAGGGUUGAUAUGAGGCUCACAUGAAAUAAUGCGACGAAAGCGUUUUGUUCAUAAACAGUAAGUAAGAGCGGAUGUUGGAAAUACUAUUGUCCCUUGUUUUUCAAGCUUUCUGCAGUGUUAAUAUUACUUAUCACAUUUUUGAUGCUAAGUAGACCACAAAAUUUUCACAUAAUGUUCUUGGAAGAAGAUCUCUUUCUUUAUCAUUCUUAGGAGGACCUUAUCUGAUUUGGAUGUCCCAGUCUUCUAUUAGUUCUUUUUUUUUUACCUUUGCUUUGAGUCUGGCAGAUUUGUAUCACAGGCACGGGUGUGUGUGCUUGUGUGUGUGUGUGCGCGCGCGCGUGUGCGCAAAGGAGGAAGGGGUAAAGGAGGAAGACAGAAAAGAGGGAAAAGCGAGAGGAACGCAUGAGUUAAAGGGGGAAAGUUUUCCUUUCCAUUCCACAGAUAGGCACCCAUCUCCGCUAGUCUGUUCUUUUAUCUGCAAUCGGUAAGUGGCUAGCACUAAGUUACUGGUGGCCUUAUACACUCUUCAGGAGAAGCAGUUCUGGGGAUGACACUAAUUUCUGCAACCAACUCUCAGCUCAUGGUGCUCUGCUUCUCCAUUCUCAUGGUGAAGGGCUUUGCCAACUGUAGCUGAAGAUGAAGAAAUCCUAUUUCUCAAACUGUAACAUGUACAUCUUUUUAACGGAACAGUGACGGGAAUGUUGCCGGAGAAGACCCUUUUUGAUGUUCCGUUGUGGGUUUUCACAUACCCGAAAUCACAGGGAAGCACUCUGUAGCUUUCAAGCCACAAUUUUAAUGUGAGAUUGCCUCUUCAUAAGUGCAGUGGUCAUAAAAUGUCAAAGUACGAGAGAGAAGACCCGUGUUUAGUCCUAAAAUGAAAAGGAAUGGCAUCCCCACUGCUUUUUAUCUAUCUUUGCCCAUAAAUUUAUCAAUAAGUGGUAAAUACAUUUGGAUUUAAGGCAGGUUCCCUGCCAGGCAGGAAUAAAGACCAGCAAGCAUGACGUAGAGAAACCCAAUGAAGCAAGGAACAAAGGAGUGGAGGUAACUGAGUCAAUCGGCCAGUGAGCUGACCCCACAAGGGUGGCCUCGCUCUCGCUGAUCAGCUGGCAGAACACAGAACUUGCGCUCGUUACAAAGAAACAGCGACCGCCACCUCAUACCUUCACGGGUUAUCAACCUUCUGGAAUUGAACAAGGAGAGAGGUGCACCCAAGUGUGCUGUACCUGUCCAUCCCUUCCACCACCUUCUUCCUCUAGAGGACUGUAACUUUAUAUUUGCCUUAUGCUUUCCUUGUCUUGAGAUGAAGUCCAUCUACGGUUUAAAACACUCUUAAUAAACGCAGCAUUGUAUCUCA